rnacentral:rRNA from 1 species
GACGAACGCUGGCGGCGUGCUUAACACAUGCAAGUCGAACGGAAAGGCCCUGCUUUUGUUGGUUGCUCGAUUGCCGAACGGGUGAGUAACACGUGAGUAACCUGCCCUUGACUUUGGGAUAACUUCAGGAAACUGCGGCUCAUACCGGAUAUGAGCUCCUGCUGCAUGGUGGUGGUUGGUAAGUUUCGGCGGUUGGGGAUGGACUCGCUGCUUAUCAGCUUGUUGGUGGGGUAGUGGCUUACCAAGGCUUUGACGGGUAGCCGGCCUGAGAGGGUGACCGGCCACAUUGGGACUGAGAGACGGACCAGACUCCUACGGGAGGCAGCAGGGGGGAAUAUUGCAGAAUGGGCGGAAGCGUGAGACAGAAACGCCGCGAGCGGGAUGACGGCCUUCGGGGUGUAAACCGAUUUCGCCUGUGACGAAGAGGGAGUGACGGUAAUGGGUAAAGAAGCAACGGCUAACUACGUG